rnacentral:rRNA from 1 species
UACAGAGGUCCCAAGCGUUGUUCGGAUUCAUUGGGCGUAAAGAGCGCGUAGGCGGUCCGAUAAGUCGGCUGUGAAAGUCAGGGGCUCAACCCUUGAAAGCCGGCCGAUACUGUCGGACUAGAGUCCGGAAGAGGCAAGUGGAAUUCCCGGUGUAGCGGUGAAAUGCGCAGAUAUCGGGAGGAACACCAAUGGCGAAGGCAGCUUGCUGGGACGGUACUGACGCUGAGGCGCGAAAGCGUGGGGAGCAAACAGG